rnacentral:lncRNA from 1 species
UUCAUGCAAUGAUUACUCCUAUUGGCUUGGUGUGAUCUCCUUCCUAACUCCAUAUGGAGUUCUUUGGCUGAGCUUAGUCUUUUUUUCAGAGAUAUUUGUGCUACUGAACUAUCCACUAACCACAUCUUCAGUCUUGAGACUAGCAGUCUCUAUGCAAGUUGGAGAAGAUAUUUCCUCCUAGCUUCUUCGAUUCCAUGGAGCACCUCAUGAUUCAUCUAGCAUAUAAAGCUAGGAUGGGGGGACCAGUGCAGUACAAGUGG